GCGGAGGUAGCUCAAUGGUAGAGCCCCAGUUUUCCAAACUGGAUGUUGCGGGUUCGAGCCCCGUCCUCCGCU
rnacentral:tRNA from 1 species